rnacentral:rRNA from 1 species
UACGAACUGUGCGAACGUUAUUCGGAAUCACUGGGCUUACAGGGUGCGUAGGCGGCUUGUUAAGUAGGGUGUGAAAGCCCCCGGCUCAACCGGGGAAUUGCGCCCUAAACUGGCGAGCUAGAGUGAGAUAGGGGUAUGUGGAACUUCCGGUGGAGCGGUGAAAUGUGUUGAUAUCGGAAGGAACGCCGGUGGCGAAAGCGACAUACUGGAUCUUGUCUGACGCUGAGGCACGAAAGCCAGGGGAGCGAACGGG